AGUGAACGCUGGCGGUAGGCCUAACACAUGCAAGUCGAACGGCAGCACAGUAAGAGCUUGCUCUUACGGGUGGCGAGUGGCGGACGGGUGAGGAAUACAUCGGAAUCUACUUUUUCGUGGGGGAUAACGUAGGGAAACUUACGCUAAUACCGCAUACGACCUACGGGUGAAAGCAGGGGAUCUUCGGACCUUGCGCGAUUGAAUGAGCCGAUGUCGGAUUAGCUAGUUGGCGGGGUAAAGGCCCACCAAGGCGACGAUCCGUAGCUGGUCUGAGAGGAUGAUCAGCCACACUGGAACUUAGACACGGUCCAGACUCCUAAGGGAGGCAGCAGUGGGGAAUAUUGGACAAUGGGCGCAAGCCUGAUCCAGCCAUACCGCGUGGGUGAAGAAGGCCUUCGGGGUGUAAAGCCCUUUUGUUGGGAAAGAAAAGCAGCAGGUUAAUACCCCGCUGCUCUGACGGUACCCAAAGAAUAAGCACCGGCUAACUUCGUG
rnacentral:rRNA from 1 species